UCGGGAAUAUUGGACAAUGGGGGAAACCCUGAUCCAGUGACGCCGCGUGGAGGAAGAAGGUUUUCGGAUUGUAAACUCAUUUAGUUUGGGAAGAAACAAAUGACAGUACCAAAAGAAUAAGCACCGGCAAACUACGUGCCAGCAGCCGCGGUAAUACGUAGGGUGCAAGCGUUAUCCGGAUUUACUGGGUGUAAAGGGCGAGUAGACGGAAUAUCAAGUCAGCUGUGAAAUGCUAAAGCUCAACUUUAGCACUGCAACUGAAACUGAUAAUCUAGAGUAUAGGAGAGGAAAAUGGAAUUCCUAGUGUAGCGGUGAAAUGCGUAGAUAUUAGGAGGAACACCAGUGGCGAAGGCGAUUUUCUGGACUAAAACUGACGUUGAGGCGCGAAAGUGUGGGGAGCAAACA
rnacentral:rRNA from 1 species